rnacentral:rRNA from 1 species
AGAACGAACGCUGGCGGCAUGCCUAACACAUGCAAGUCGAACGCUUGCCGGGCUUCGGUUCGGCAGGAGUGGCGCACGGGUGAGUAGCGCGUGGGAACCUGCCCUGUUGUGGGGGAUAACCGAGGGAAACUUCGGCUAAUACCGCAUGCGCCCGGGGAAACCCGGGGAAAGAUUUAUCGCAGCAGGAGGGGCCCGCGUCGGAUUAGGUAGUUGGUAGGGUAACGGCCUACCAAGCCUUUGAUCCAUAGCUGGUCUGAGAGGAUGAUCAGCCACACUGGAACUGAAACACGGUCCAGACUCCUACGGGAGGCAGCAGUGGGAAUUUUGCGCAAUGGGGGAAACCCUGACGCAGCAACGCCGCGUGGAGGAUGAAGUCCCUUGGGACGUAAACUCCUUUCGAUCGGGACGAUUAUGACGGUACCGGAAGAAGAAGCCCGGCUAACUUCGUGCCAGCAGCCGC